CGAGUUUUGCUUUUGGUCCCCAUCUGCCCUGAGUGUUUCCACCUGUGUCUCGUUUGUCUGUAUGGAUUUAAGUCCUGUCUUUCCCUUCCUCUUUCCCUUCCAUAGUUUUGCUAUUCCCCUUUUGAGUAUUACGAGAUUCAAGUUUGCUGUUUCUCCAUUUCUAGUGUUUGGAGUUUGCCUGCCUGCUCAGCAGUGUUUUUGUUUUCGUUUAUUUUAGUUAUUAAAGACCUGUGUUCCUGGAACCUUCUGCCUCCCCCACCUCUUUGCACCUGGGUGCUUCGCUUAACCCCGUCGUAACAGAUACAUGUGUGAUUUACACAAUUCAUAAGUGUUUCUUGCAUUUGUCAUUCGUCGAUGUGCGCAGAUGUCCAUGGAGGGUUUCGGCCGACAUGACUUUACAUGAAUUCGACUUUGAACUGUUCAAAAUUUUUGGUCAUUUGAGAAUUAUAUAUUUUCUGCAUAUUUAACGUAGUUUAUCUGCAAAUAUUACGCAACUCUAACACAAUUGUGUUGCAAAUUUGUGGCUUUCCACGACCGUUCCUCGUAUUUCUAACAGACUUCUCAUGCAUGUACCACCAAUGUAUAACUUUUAUAUCAUGUACACGGCGCACAUCUAGUGGGGCAAAAAAGUAUUUAGUCAGCCACUGAUUCUUCUUUUCCUAAUUUUGUCUCUUAUAAUUGAGGUAUACCAAAAAUGAAAAUUACAGGCCUGUCUCAUCUUUUUAAGAGGGAGAACUUGCGAAAUUGUGGGCUGACUAAAUACUUUUUUUGCCCCACUGUAACUUCCUUGUUUAUGGGGCUUUGGUGCAGUUAAAAAAACAUUCAUUAUUGUUUGCAUGUGUGUGAACACUCAAAUGAGCUGCACACAUCUGCAUGCAUGUUAAAAUAAUGCAUGAUAUCUAUUGCUUCUGCAAAUCCUUAAAGGUGCAAACAUAAUCUGCAAACAAAAGGAUGGCCUUCAGACUUCACACAAUCUGCUUCAGAGGAGCGGAUCAUACUUUUAGUGCAGCUUACAGCCCCUCACAACCUAACAAUACCGGUGCAACAAAAGCGGCGAGAAUGUCAUGGUGCUUGGCAGUUCACCUCCCCCUCCCACAGCUCUCCUUCCCCGCUGAUUGGAACCAGCUGAUCUUCAUCUCCUCAUCACCCUGCCGGCCUUCAUAAGUUUUCAUCCAUUGGUCACGCUGGUUCCAUGCUGGUCCCGCUGUCCUCGGCAUCCACGCCUCACCUCAAGCUGGUCCCGCUGUCCUCAGUGUCCAAGCCUCGCUCCCUCUGGCUCCACGGUCCGACGCGUCCACGCGUCGCCCCCUCACCCUCAUCAGCUCAAAGAACAUCAGGAUCAUUCCACGGAGGAAAUAACUUCCACAUUCCCUCAGAAACUGUAUUUACUGUUGGUAAAAUAAACCUUUUCAAGUUCA